GUGAAUCAUCGAAUUUUUGGACGCAAAUUGCACUUUCUGGUAUUCCGGAAAGUAUGCCUGUUUGAGGGUCAGUUUAAUUAAAAUCGGUGUUGUUGCUUCUUUUCGUGGUGACGCGUCGGGAUUGAGUUGUCUUUCCUUCGGUUAAGUGACGUUAAAUUUUGCCUUAUUUUCUAACGUCGUUUAUUUUCUUACGUCCGUUUGAUAUAUCUAA
rnacentral:misc_RNA from 1 species